rnacentral:rRNA from 1 species
UAGGGAAUCUUCGGCAAUGGGGGGAACCCUGACCGAGCAACGCCGCGUGAGUGAAGAAGGUUUUCGGAUCGUAAAGCUCUGUUGUUAAGGAAGAACGAGUGUGAGAAUGGAAAGUUCAUGCUGUGACGGUACUUAACCAGAAAGGGACGGCUAACUACGUGCCAGCAGCCGCGGUAAUACGUAGGUCCCGAGCGUUGUCCGGAUUUAUUGGGCGUAAAGCGAGCGCAGGCGGUUAGAAAAGUCUGAAGUGAAAGGCAGUGGCUCAACCAUUGUAGGCUUUGGAAACUGUUUAACUUGAGUGCAGAAGGGGAGAGUGGAAUUCCAUUUGUAGCGGUGAAAUGCGUAGAUAUAUGGAGGAACACCGGUGGCGAAAGCGGCUCUCUGGUCUGUAACUAACGCUGAGGCUCGAAAGCGUGGGGAGCGAACAGG